GGGUGAUUAGCUCAGUUGGGAGAGCAUCGCCCUUACAAGGCGAGGGUCACUGGUUCAAGUCCAGUAU
rnacentral:tRNA from 1 species